rnacentral:snoRNA from 2 species
CGAGCACUCAUUUCAAGCUGCGCGAGCAUAAGCGUGUUGCUCCGUGGUCGGGUGACGUGCGAGACAC